rnacentral:rRNA from 1 species
GUGAACGCUGGCGGUAGGCCUAACACAUGCAAGUCGAACGGCAGCACAGUAAGAGCUUGCUCUUACGGGUGGCGAGUGGCGGACGGGUGAGGAAUACAUCGGAAUCUACUUUUUCGUGGGGGAUAACGUAGGGAAACUUACGCUAAUACCGCAUACGACCUACGGGUGAAAGCAGGGGAUCUUCGGACCUUGCGCGAUUGAAUGAGCCGAUGUCGGAUUAGCUAGUUGGCGGGGUAAAGGCCCACCAAGGCGACGAUCCGUAGCUGGUCUGAGAGGAUGAUCAGCCACAGUGGAACUGAGACACGGUCCAGACUCCUACGGGAGGCAGCAGUGGGGAAUAUUGGACAAUGGGCGCAAGCCUGAUCCAGCCAUACCGCGUGGGUGAAGAAGGCCUUCGGGUUGUAAAGCCCUUUUGUUGGGAAAGAAAAGCAGCAGGUUAAUACCCCGCUGUUCUGACGGUACCCAAAGAAUAAGCACCGGCUAACUUCGUG